UCAUACAUGUAGCAGAGAGUGAAGGAUUUACACACUAGUCUCACUUUCAGUUUGCUUUUUCAGACUUUGGUUGAGUUUGAUUUGAUUGAUCUCACAAAGUCACGAUCUACCCACAGAGAAGCUGAAACUACGGAGACCGUUGGGUGCCAGUGGUUAAAAAUUUUAAAAAAUCUGAUAAACUGUGCUCACAGAUUACUAAACCGUGCGCACCAUUUAGUAAACUGUGUGCACGGAUAAGUAAACUGUGUGCACCGAUUACUAAAUGGUGCACACGGAUUAAUCAAUUGUGCUCGUACUUUUAAGCAAUUGUGCGCACACGCACAUUUAUUGCAUGUGUGUGUCUCUGAGCAGAGCAGAUAUACUCUGUUAAGAAUAGUUAGAAACAGAAUAGUUAGAAACUCUCUUUUUUACUUUUUAUUACACUAAUGGUUCAAACUUAAUUCAUUAUGCAUGUAUUAUCAUCUCAAAAUUGUAUUACAUUUGAAGACAGCACAGCCAAAACCAUUUUUCUCAUAAGAUUCCUCCAGCAUCCUCCCCUUUUCAUCUUUGUGUGUGCUGGUGCCUGUGCUCUGGUAAAUGUCUGUGAGAACCUCAGAGAGAUCUGACACUUGAAGCUUCCUGACCUUCGAGCAUCUCCCUGCAACAACCUGUGGGUGUGAUUUUCACACCAUUGUCCAGUGUGUGAUCCUUUGAAUAUGCAAAUGCAGGGUUUAUAUUCCAAGCCCAUCUCCCUGCCUCCGUUGUUCAGACUUUGUGUGCAGACUUUGCUGUUCACUUCGUCUGUAACCCUUCAUACAAUCUGAUUAGUGCUGCUUGUGCGGAGUAAACUUCCACUGAAGAUAAUUUUUGCCUCUAAGUCAUUAUUAAUUCGUUUCUGUGUGCAGGGAACUGUGGGAUCCACUGGAUUCAGAUGACACCAACAGAGAAACCGGCCCACUCCUUCUAUUACAACACAGACCAACUGCAGCGGCAGCACGAAGGAUUCAGGGGCAGAACGUCUCUGUCCAAGGAGCAGAUCUCCAGAGGAAACGCCUCCCUGCUGCUGUCAGGAGUGAGGGUUGAGGAUGAGGGCAGAUAUAAGUGCUACAGCAGCGUCCUGGCAGGGAACCACGAGUCCUUCAUCAACCUGAAGGCGUACGUGCCGGAAUUGUGCCGGAAAAAUGAACCAAAUGAGUUCUAUCGCUAGA